UACCCCUGGGGGCAGCAAUCCCCCACCACUGGGAACUGUGCUAAGGCGCUCUCCCAUGUGUAGGGUCCUUGGGCAUAAAGUAAAACACAUGCAGCUGACCCUCGGGGUAUGGCUAGUAAACAACCAGUUGAUUCCGAUUCCUUUGUGCUUGAGAUGACUCCGAGGAGCAGGAGCCUUGACUAGACACCACCUGGCUUUGCCUCCAAACCCAGAGGGAAAUGGAUGGAGGGAGUCUAGGAAUCUGGGUGACCAGCAGCUUUAAAAGGCGACAGGAGGAAAGAUUUCCACGACAACCUUAAUCCUCUGAGAGCUUCUCAAGACCUACACGUGAAACACAGGCCUAAGUCUAGACCCCAAUUAAAACCUCAAAGAGGCUUUUUCAUAUCCCCCAAUCCCAAUUUGCCAGCCAAGAUCCCAGGCCCGCAGGACCUUGUUUCUUCCACUCUUGCACCAAACCAGCAGACUUUCCUCACAGACCCCAGACUCCAAAGGCCUCAAACCUGGAGUUUUGAGGAAAUUAAUACUAAUGGGAACUGGGACUCUGAAGAGAAAAAGAAAUCUUCAUUUUGGAAGGAAUGGGAAAAGAAAAAUCCCGUCAGGACAAGGUUCCUCCAGCAGCAUUGAGCAAGUCAAGGCACCAAACCAUCAAAGAAAAAAUGAAAUUUCCUAUACAAGGAGACCAUCUUGUCAGAACCACACCACAGAGCUGGUAAAACCAAAAAGGGUUCUGGAUUUUUAGCCAUACCAACCUGAGGGUUGGUGUUAGAGUCUAUAGCAAGAUGUGGAGGGGAGAGCAGUAGGGACAGGUAGACCACGGUCCCUUUAUUGGAAGGGAUAUUCAUCUUGCCAGAAUUUCAUUUUUAAGUCCCUGAAUACUC